GAAUUUUAUAUAAAUUAUUAAUAAAAUAAAUUAGUAAUUUAUAUUUUAUUGGGAGGAUAAUUAAAUUUAAAUAACUUUAAUGUAGAGAAACUUUGAUUAAUGGAAAGAAAAAGAUGAUUAAUAAAAAAUUAUUGGAGAUUAAAUUACCUUAGGGAUAACAGCAUUAUAUUUUUUUUUAGAUCAUAUAUAAAAAAAUGUUUAU
rnacentral:rRNA from 1 species